GAAGGUGUGCUGUGAGGCAUGCUGGAGGUAUCAGAAGUGCGAAUGCUGACAUAAGUAACGAUAAAGCGGGUGAAAAGCCCGCUCGCCGGAAGACCAAGGGUUCCUGUCCAACGUUAAUCGGGGCAGGGUGAGUCGACCCCUAAGGCGAGGCCGAAAGGCGUAGUCGAUGGGAAACAGGUUAAUAUUCCUGUACUUGGUGUUACUGCGAAGGGGGGACGGAGAAGGCUAUGUUGGCCGGGCGACGGUUGUCCCGGUUUAAGCGUGUAGGCUGGUUUUCCAGGCAAAUCCGGAAAAUCAAGGCUGAGGCGUGAUGACGAGGCACUACGGUGCUGAAGCAACAAAUGCCCUGCUUCCAGGAAAAGCCUCUAAGCAUCAGGUAACAUCAAAUCGUACCCCAAACCGACACAGGUGGUCAGGUAGAGAAUACCAAGGCGCUUGAGAGAACUCGGGUGAAGGAACUAGGCAAAAUGGUGCCGUAACUUCGGGAGAAGGCACGCUGAUAUGUAGGUGAAGUCCCUCGCGGAUGGAGCUGAAAUCAGUCGAAGAUACCAGCUGGCUGCAACUGUUUAUUAAAAACACAGCACUGUGCAAACACGAAAGUGGACGUAUACGGUGUGACGCCUGCCCGGUGCCGGAAGGUUAAUUGAUGGGGUUAGCCGCAAGGCGAAGCUCUUGAUCGAAGCCCCGGUAAACGGCGGCCGUAACUAUAACGGUCCUAAGGUAGCGAAAUUCCUUGUCGGGUAAGUUCCGACCUGCACGAAUGGCGUAAUGAUGGCCAGGCUGUCUCCACCCGAGACUCAGUGAAAUUGAACUCGCUGUGAAGAUGCAGUGUACCCGCGGCAAGACGGAAAGACCCCGUGAACCUUUACUAUAGCUUGACACUGAACAUUGAGCCUUGAUGUGUAGGAUAGGUGGGAGGCUUAGAAGUGUGGACGCCAGUCUGCAUGGAGCCGACCUUGAAAUACCACCCUUUAAUGUUUGAUGUUCUAACGUUGACCCGUAAUCCGGGUUGCGGACAGUGUCUGGUGGGUAGUUUGACUGGGGCGGUCUCCUCCUAAAGAGUAACGGAGGAGCACGAAGGUUGGCUAAUCCUGGUCGGACAUCAGGAGGUUAGUGCAAUGGCAUAAGCCAGCUUGACUGCGAGCGUGACGGCGCGAGCAGGUGCGAAAGCAGGUCAUAGUGAUCCGGUGGUUCUGAAUGGAAGGGCCAUCGCUCAACGGAUAAAAGGUACUCCGGGGAUAACAGGCUGAUACCGCCCAAGAGUUCAUAUCGACGGCGGUGUUUGGCACCUCGAUGUCGGCUCAUCACAUCCUGGGGCUGAAGUAGGUCCCAAGGGUAUGGCUGUUCGCCAUUUAAAGUGGUACGCGAGCUGGGUUUAGAACGUCGUGAGACAGUUCGGUCCCUAUCUGCCGUGGGCGCUGGAGAACUGAGGGGGGCUGCUCCUAGUACGAGAGGACCGGAGUGGACGCAUCACUGGUGUUCGGGUUGUCAUGCCAAUGGCACUGCCCGGUAGCUAAAUGCGGAAGAGAUAAGUGCUGAAAGCAUCUAAGCACGAAACUUGCCCCGAGAUGAGUUCUCCCUGACUCCUUGAGAGUCCUGAAGGAACGUUGAAGACGACGACGUUGAUAGGCCGGGUGUGUAAGCGCAGCGAUGCGUUGAGCUAACCGGUACUAAUGAACCGUGAGGCUUAACCUU
rnacentral:rRNA from 1 species